CUCUCGGGUGACGAGUGGCGGACGGGUGAGUAAUGUCUGGGAAACUGCCCGAUGGAGGGGGAUAACUACUGGAAACGGUAGCUAAUACCGCAUAACGUCUUCGGACCAAAGUGGGGGACCUUCGGGCCUCACACCAUCGGAUGUGCCCAGAUGGGAUUAGCUAGUAGGUGGGGUAACGGCUCACCUAGGCGACGAUCCCUAGCUGGUCUGAGAGGAUGACCAGCCACACUGGAACUGAGACACGGUCCAGACUCCUACGGGAGGCAGCAGUGGGGAAUAUUGCACAAUGGGCGCAAGCCUGAUGCAGCCAUGCCGCGUGUAUGAAGAAGGCCUUCGGGUUGUAAAGUACUUUCAGUGGGGAGGAAGGCGAUGAAGUUAAUAACUUCGUCGAUUGACGUUACCCGCAGAAGAAGCACCGGCUAACUCCGUGCCAGCAGCCGCGGUAAUACGGAGGGUGCAAGCGUUAAUCGGAAUUACUGGGCGUAAAGCGCACGCAGGCGGUCUGUCAAGUCGGAUGUGAAAUCCCCGGGCUCAACCUGGGAACUGCAUUCGAAACUGGCAGGCUAGAGUCUUGUAGAGGGGGGUAGAAUUCCAGGUGUAGCGGUGAAAUGCGUAGAGAUCUGGAGGAAUACCGGUGGCGAAGGCGGCCCCCUGGACAAAGACUGACGCUCAGGUGCGAAAGCGUGGGGAGCAAACAGGAUUAGAUACCCUGGUAGUCCACGCCGUAAACGAUGUCGACUUGGAGGUUGUGCCCUUGAGGCGUGGCUUCCGGAGCUAACGCGUUAAGUCGACCGCCUGGGGAGUACGGCCGCAAGGUUAAAACUCAAAUGAAUUGACGGGGGCCCGCACAAGCGGUGGAGCAUGUGGUUUAAUUCGAUGCAACGCGAAGAACCUUACCUGGCCUUGACAUCCACGGAAUUUGGCAGAGAUGCCUUAGUGCCUUCGGGAACCGUGAGACAGGUGCUGCAUGGCUGUCGUCAGCUCGUGUUGUGAAAUGUUGGGUUAAGUCCCGCAACGAGCGCAACCCUUAUCCUUUGUUGCCAGCACGUAAUGGUGGGAACUCAAAGGAGACUGCCGGUGAUAAACCGGAGGAAGGUGGGGAUGACGUCAAGUNNACAUGGCCCUUACGGCCAGGGCUACACACGUGCUACAAUGGCGCAUACAAAGAGAAGCGACCUCGCGAGAGCAAGCGGACCUCAUAAAGUGCGUCGUAGUCCGGAUCGGAGUCUGCAACUCGACUCCGUGAAGUCGGAAUCGCUAGUAAUCGUAGAUCAGAAUGCUACGGUGAAUACGUUCCCGGGCCUUGUACACACCGCC
rnacentral:rRNA from 2 species